UUCAAGUUGAAUUAAGAAGACGAUUCAAAAUAUUGAGAUAUUUACAUUAAUAGCAACCUUACAACCCACCAAACACUAAGAGGUGAUUCGACCCCCCAUUUUCUUUUUUCAAAAUAGUGAAUUUGAACGAUUUAUCCCUACUCAUUUUCCUCGAGUUCGUUCCUGCAAUGCCUACCGAGACGGGUGUUCUUUGACUGUGACGUCACCGGGGGUAUCGUAGUAAACAAGGCAGUGCUGUUUUGUGUACUAUGCACGUACGCCUUCAUAUUUACUUUUGUGUCAAAACUUCAUUUUAUCGCUAUUGAUUUUAUGUGAACGAUGUUGAAAGGAAGUAAUAAUUAUCAUAAGACAUAUUGUCAAUAAUAUGACCCUACAUUGUUAAAACUGUUCUUCUUUGUAGCAAUUUUAGACGAUUUUAAUGCCUUGUUUUCGUUCCGGACUGUGUCCGUGGCGAAACAAUUGAAUAAACUGCAGUUGAAGUUGUAUUUCGAGCCGGAGAACUUGCAAAAAGGAAAUGAUUAAAAUUAUAUUUAUGGCCAUACUAUUAUUCCAAAUAUGUAAAUUCCCUCAUAAUGAUACCAUAGACCCUAAAGGAAUAAUUUCAAGACGAAUAAUAUGAAAUUUGACCAAGAUCUUCUCACCAGUCGAUAACGUAGCAGACGUGUUAUCAUGAUAUAUUUAUCCGCGUGUGACGCGGCUCUUGCAAAAAACACAGUUGGUUGCGGAAUUGCUUUGUGCCGACCGGCCACCCGCUCCGGGGCAGCUAGCUGUCGAGCUGCCGGACCGCAUACCUUUCAUGCUGUCUUGAACUCACUUGCGAAUUGCAUUUGUAUGUUUGACGGUGACCUCUAGCGUAAUUAAAUAUACAGGUAGAAAACAACUCGGGAGGCCGAGAAGAAUAGUAAGUUGAUUCAAGAUUGUUCUGUGGAAUGAGCCAUGAGUGGAAAUGAUCCACAGGAUAUAAAAAUGGUGUCAAAGACAAAAGGAAAGAAGAAAAAGACGUCAGGGGAUUGCUGCAUGGUCAUGAACUGCGGUUCGACCAUAGAGAUAUAUAUGGGGAUGGUCUGGGGGUCGACAUACCAGAACACUUCCCCACUACAGUGCAGUACACACUCAAUGCCUGGGUGCAUGCAGCGCGCGCAGAGCUGAGCUAGCCGCCGGAAUUACUUUCCAGCUACUCACUUGAUGGAACAUCGUGAUAAAAUAAAUGAGAAAUAGUGAAAAUAUCAUUCAAUAACUCACUGUUUUCAAUCUUUCAUCAUGAUUUAAGAGUUCAUGAUAGUUAUUCAUACUGUUCUUUAUACAGGUAAAGUAAAGAUUUGUACAUAUGAUUCCUAUUUGUUUGAUUUGAGUUGCUUUGACAAAAAAUUGUAAAAUCAUCUUUCACUCUCUGCAUAGCAUUUCUGUAUUACACCCAGGCACCUCUUACACUAAAUUCCCUCCGGUGACGUCACACUCAGAGUGAUUUUUCUGUACACUCGUCUCUCGGGCUCUGACAGGUGGCUAAUUUCAUAGACUUUCAAAGCAAAAUAUCGAGAAGGCAGAAGAUUUUUGUGACAUGCUAUUUGUUUGAACAACUGAUAUAUACUUUAUAUUAUGUGUGGAAACCAUAUUUAUGGAAACUCACCCCCUUCUUAAUUCAAGUUU
rnacentral:lncRNA from 1 species